rnacentral:rRNA from 1 species
GAUGAACGCUAGCUACAGGCUUAACACAUGCAAGUCGAGGGACCGGCGCACGGGUGAGUAACACGUAUCCUACCUGCCCUUUACUCGGGGCUAGCCUUUCGAAAGAAAGAUUAAUACCCGAUAUACAGGAUGGGGAUGCGUUCCAUUAGUUUGUUGGUGAGGUAACGGCGCACCAAGCCUUCGAUGGAUAGGGGUUCUGGGAGGAAGGUCCCCUAGAAUGGAGCUGAGACACGGACAAAAAUGCUACGGGGGGCAGCGUAGAGGAAUAUAGGUCAAGGAGCGCUGGCCUGACACAGCCAAGUGAGGUAAAGAAUGAAUGGUUAGGGGUAGUAAGCUUCUUUUAUAUAAGAAUAGGUAUUAAAUGAAUAAGGAUCGGCUAACUCCGUGCCAGCAGCCGCGGUAAUAC